GACGAACGCUGGCGGCGUGCUUAACACAUGCAAGUCGAACGAUGAAGCCUUCGGGUGGAUUAGUGGCGAACGGGUGAGUAACACGUGGGCAAUCUGCCCUGUACUUUGGGAUAAGCCUUGGAAACGGGGUCUAAUACCGGAUAUCACUUCUGACCGCAUGGUUGGUUGUUGAAAGUUCUGGCGGUACAGGAUGAGCCCGCGGCCUAUCAGCUUGUUGGUGGGUAAUGGCCUACCAAGGCGACGACGGGUAGCCGGCCUGAGAGGGUGACCGGCCACACUGGGACUGAGACACGGCCAGACUCCUACGGGAGGCAGCAGUGGGAAUAUUGCACAAUGGGCGAAAGCCUG
rnacentral:rRNA from 1 species